GCGUCGGUAGCUCAGUGGCAGAGCGGCGGUUAGAGGCAUCCCGCAGGUCGAUGGUUCGAUUCCAUCCCGACGUA
rnacentral:tRNA from 1 species